rnacentral:rRNA from 1 species
UACGUAGGGUGCAAACGUUGCUCGGAAUCAUUGGGCGUAAAGCGCACGUAGGCGGUCCAGCAAGUCGGGCGUGAAAGCCCUCGGCUUAACCGAGGAAGUGCAUUCGAAACUACUGGACUUGAAUACUGAAGAGGAUCGCGGAAUUCCCGGUGUAGAGGUGAAAUUCGUAGAUAUCGGGAGGAACACCAGUGGCGAAGGCGGCUUCCUGGCCUGUUCUUGACGCUGAGGCGCGAAAGCUAGGGGAGCAAACGGG